rnacentral:tRNA from 1 species
CCAUGGCUCAGUUGGUAGAGCAGCGCAUUCGUAACGCGCAGGCCGUGGGUUCGAGUCCCACUGG